UACGGGGGGGGGCAAGCGUUGUUCGGAAUUACUGGGCGUAAAGGGCUCGUAGGUGGCCAACUAAGUCAGACGUGAAAUCCCUCGGCUUAACCGGGGAACUGCGUCUGAUACUGGUUGGCUUGAAUCCGGGAGAGGGAUGUGGAAUUCCAGGUGUAGCGGUGAAAUGCGUAGAUAUCUGGAGGAACACCGGUGGCGAAGGCGGCAUCCUGGACCGGUAUUGACGCUGAGGAGCGAAAGCCAGGGGAGCAAAGCGGG
rnacentral:rRNA from 1 species